UACGGGGGGAGCAAGCGUUGUUCGGAUUUACCGGGCGUAAAGGGCGCGUAGGCGGCCACCGCAAGUCAAUUGUGAAAUCUCCGGGCUUAACUCGGAAAGGUCAACUGAUACUGCGGGGCUAGAGUGCGGAAGGGGCAACUGGAAUUCUCGGUGUAGCGGUGAAAUGCGUAGAUAUCGAGAGGAACACCUGCGGCGAAGGCGGGUUGCUGGGCCGACACUGACGCUGAGGCGCGAAAGCCAGGGGAGCGAACGGG
rnacentral:rRNA from 1 species